CCUGGAUCAUUCUCUAUAUUUACUUAUUUUUGGUCCUUUCUGGGUACUGGGACUUUCCAUGGAGCACCCUGGAUUCCACAACGAAGGGUUGAGUGCACUUCCAUUUCCAUUUAUGUUUGUAUAGGGAGGGAAGCUAGACAGUUCAUUGAAACAGCAUGAUUCCAUACUGAUAAUGGACGUUUUUAUAUCCAAUUAAUGUAGGUUGUGUAUAAGAAUCAUAAAUAGAUUAUUCACAAUAAAAGAGCAUGAUUCCAUACUGCUAAUGGAUCUUUUUAUUUUCCGUUAAAGGGACACUGUAAGCACCAAUAUAACUUUGGUUUAAGGCUUUAGUGUAUAGCUCAUGCCC